UGAACAUUUAUUUGUUAUUUAUGAUCUUUCCUAUUUUUGGGAAAGUGCCAAUUCAAGUACUUUGUUUUUGUAGGAGGCUAUUUGCAUUGGGAUAUAAAGAAAAGGACGACUUGCCCACUCGGCGCUCCCCAGUGGGUCUGUCCGCUCUGCAGAUGCCCACGGCACCAAAGGAGAGGGGAGGAAACGAGGCCUGUCAGUCGGAGGGAAGCGGGCUCCCGUGGCAGAAGUGGCCUGCGUUAGAGUGGAACGCAGUUUUCUUCCUCAGCAGCUUUUUAAUGAGAACCCUGAUUCUUUA
rnacentral:lncRNA from 1 species